UACGUAGGUGGCAAGCGUUGUCCGGAUUUACUGGGCGUAAAGAGCGCGCAGGCGGUCGUUCAAGUCGCGUGUGAAAGCCCCCGGCUCAACUGGGGAGGGUCACGCGAUACUGAUCGACUCGAAGGCAGGAGAGGGAAGUGGAAUUCCCGGUGUAGUGGUGAAAUGCGUAGAUAUCGGGAGGAACACCAGUGGCGAAGGCGACUUCCUGGCCUGUUCUUGACGCUGAGGCGCGAAGCUAGGGAGCA
rnacentral:rRNA from 1 species